rnacentral:lncRNA from 1 species
CGGAUGUGCGGGGUCACACGAGGACAUGCAUAGACGUGGGCACAGGGACGCUUUGGGGGGCUCGGACACGCGGGGGCACAUGAGGACACGGGUACACGGACGUAUUGGGGGAGCCGAGACACGCAGGGGCACAUGAGGACACGGGUACACGGGGGGACACAUCAGGGACACCCAGGUACACGGGAGCACACAGACACGCAAGGACACGUGAGGACACAGGUACACGCAGGGCACACGGAUACACCAGGGCCCACGAGGAACAUGGACGCAUCGAGGACACCCGGACACGCAGGUGCGCACACGGAAACGGGGUCACACAGGCACGCAGACACGUGUGUGCACGAGGGAACAUGGCACACACAGGAACACGCGGGUGUACACGGGCGCGAAGGACACGGGCGCAGAGGGACAGGUGGGUUCACGCGGGGACGCCGGCGCAGGAACACGCCACUGGGCUGGCACACGCGUGUGCAGGCUCCCAGGAAACACGUGGGGCACACGGGCAUGCAGGGGACGACCCCACCGAGGCACAACCACACGCGUGCACCACCGCAUGCGUGUUCGCCAGGGACACAACCGGACACGCGCCCGCGGACGGCAGUCACGCUUGCACCACCGCGCACGGGCUGGGAACCGCCGCACGCAACCCCGACACACGGGCGCACAGCUGCACGCAUGCAACCCCGACACGUGGUUGCACAGCCGCACACGCACAACCCCGACACGCGGGCGCACAGCUGCACGCAUGCAAUCCCGAAACGCGGCUGCAGUCGCACACGCGCAACCCUGACACGUGGGCGCACAGCUGCACACACGCAACACUGAAACGUGGGCACACAGCCGCACACGUGCAACUCCAACACGCCGGCGCACAGGCGCACACGUGCAACCCCAACACAUGGGUGCACAGUCGCACGCGCACAACCCCAAAACACCGGCGCACAGCCGCACGCGAGCAACCCCGACACGCAAGCGCACCACCGUGUGCGAGGUGUGACGCCGCCAUCCUGGCGCACACGCGUGUCCCCGCGUGUCCCCGGCACCCUGUCAGCCACAGCCCCCCCCGAAAUGGGUCCCCAGGCUGGGGGAANNNNNNNN